rnacentral:rRNA from 1 species
UUGAACGCUGGCGGCAUGCUUUACACAUGCAAGUCGAACGGUAACAGGUCUUCGGAUGCUGACGAGUGGCGAACGGGUGAGUAAUGUAUCGGAACGUGCCCAGUAGUGGGGGAUAACUACUCGAAAGAGUGGCUAAUACCGCAUGAGAACUGAGGUUGAAAGCGGGGGACCUUCGGGCCUCGCGCUACUGGAGCGGCCGAUAUCAGAUUAGGUAGUUGGUGGGGUAAAGGCCUACCAAGCCGACGAUCUGUAGCUGGUCUGAGAGGACGACCAGCCACACUGGGACUGAGACACGGCCCAGACUCCUACGGGAGGCAGCAGUGGGGAAUUUUGGACAAUGGACGCAAGUCUGAUCCAGCCAUUCCGCGUGCAGGAUGAAGGCCCUCGGGUUGUAAACUGCUUUUGUACGGAACGAAAAGGUUUCUCUUAAUACGAGGAGCUCAUGACGGUACCGUAAGAAUAAGCACCGGCUAACUACGUG